rnacentral:rRNA from 1 species
GACGAACGCUGGCGGCGUGCCUAAUACAUGCAAGUAGAACGCUGAAGAGAGGAGCUUGCUCUUCUUGGAUGAGUUGCGAACGGGUGAGUAACGCGUAGGUAACCUGCCUUGUAGCGGGGGAUAACUAUUGGAAACGAUAGCUAAUACCGCAUAACAAUGGAUGACACAUGUCAUUUAUUUGAAAGGGGCAAUUGCUCCACUACAAGAUGGACCUGCGUUGUAUUAGCUAGUAGGUGAGGUAAUGGCUCACCUAGGCGACGAUACAUAGCCGACCUGAGAGGGUGAUCGGCCACACUGGGACUGGGACACGGCCCAGACUCCUACGGGCGGCAGCAGUAGGGAAUCUUCGGCAAUGGGGGCAACCCUGACCGAGCAACGCCGCGUGAGUGAAGAAGGUUUUCGGAUCGUAAAGCUCUGUUGUAAGUCAAGAACGGGUGUGAGAGUGGAAAGUUCACACUGUGACGGUAGCUUACCAGAAAGGGACGGCUAACUACGUG